UUUUCGGUGGUCUAGUGGUUAGAGCGUCCGCCUCGGAUGCAGAAAGUCGCGGGUUUGAACCCCGGUCUAGUCAUACCAAAAAC